UCAAUCAAGAACCUGCAGGAUAGGAUAAGAACAACAGCGUGGGUGAAGGAGAACCUGAAUUUGGAUUUGACGAUGCUGAUGUUGCCGCUAUGCUGUAACUCAGAGGGAAACCAGGUGUGGUGUAUGGAUCCAAGAACAGAGAUAAUUCUUCUGUCCCUCUGUACUACGGGUGGCACCAAUCUAUAGGGCCGACAAACAAACUGGAAAACAAGAGACUGAACAAAGACAACAGGAAGGAAGGGGGAGGCUGACCAGAGAGAUUAAAUUGGCCAUCAUUGCUGGAGAAGGAGGAGAGGCGUUGUCUCCCAAAUGCGUUGCUCAACUUGGGGCGCCAUGCUAGCAGGAGGUAAGGAGGAGGAGUUGCAACGCGUCGCGUGGAUUCGUUCCACGAGGUCGAUGAUUUUUUUUCUUCUUUCCCCCAUGGACUAACAAUUUUAGACCGGGAAUUCCCUCGUCCCGGUCUCAAUCAAAUGCAGAUUGGCCAGUCUGUGGAUCGGGACGAUCCACAUGGUUUAGACCCUGAUCCCGGCAAUUACUUGUCGAACCAAACAAGGCCUGCGUAAACUGAAAUGCACUUGAGAAAGGCUUAUAACGUAUGAGAAGAUGCUUCCGAACGAAACAAAUUCAGAAUAUUAGUUCAUAGUACUGUACUGCGGAGCGAUGACUAAGUGCUGUCGUGCUGAAGCAAGGACAUUCCACUUCAUAUAUCUUUCUUAGAGCUAUCAUGUAAAUCUGCAGCCUUCCCUGAGACCUUGAGAUUGUGUAUCCACGCGUUUGCACCGUGUUUCCAGGAUUGUUUUUGGAAGUAUACUGAACAGGAAUUAAUGAAUAUGAAUUUAAUAACAGCUUUCUACCCACUUUCUGCAAUCAUGGAAUUGAGUCUGGAGCUGAAAUGCUUCCACACACAAAACAUGCAAUACUGAAUACAGAGGCUCAUGACUACGGGCCUUUCCUUUACAGGGAUGUACACUACACACAAGACUGUACAAUUUGUUAGAAAACCUUCUAAUGAAGUUACAUCUAGUCUGGUGAAAUACAGGAUUACUUCCUAGUGGUCUGUUCUCCUUUGACUACAUCUCCACCUGCAGGUUCACAUCUGCAUUGUCCAGGCAGGUGACCACAUCUUGAAUAUUUGGCCUCAUGCAAGGAUUAUGGUUGAUACACUUGCAAGCAACUUCAAGCACCUUC
rnacentral:lncRNA from 1 species